rnacentral:rRNA from 1 species
UGGUGAGUAACACGUGGAUAAUCUACCUUUGAGUCUGGAAUAAUCCUCCGAAAGGGGGUCUAAUACCGGAUGAGACCACGGAAGGACAUCCUUCAGAGGUCAAAGGCGGGGCAACCUGCCGCUCAAUGAUGAGUCCGCGCUCCAUUAGCUUGUUGGCGGGGUAAAAGCCCACCAAGGCUGCGAUGGAUAGCCGGCCUGAGAGGGCGAUCGGCCACACUGGGACUGAGAUACGGCCCAGACUCCUACGGGAGGCAGCAGUAGGGAAUAUUGCGCAAUGGACGAAAGUCUGACGCAGCAACGCCGCGUGGGUGAUGAAGCUCCUUGGAGUGUAAAACCCUGUCAGUGGGGAAGAAACGUAUUGGGAGUAACCGCCCUUUACCUGACGGUACCCACAGAGGAAGUCCCGGCUAACUCCGUGCCAGCAGCCGCGGUAAUACGGGGGUACAAGCGUUGUUCGGAUUCACUGGGCGUAAAGGGCGCGUAGGCGGACCCUCAAGUCGGAUGUGAAAACUGGCGGCUUAACUGCCAGCCUGCACUCGAUACUGUCGGUCUUGAGUACAGUAGAGGAAAGCGGAAUUCCAGGUGUAGCGGUGAAAUGCGUAGAUAUCUGGAAGAACACCAGUAGCGAAGGCGGCUUUCUGGGCUGAUACUGACGCUGAAGCGCGAAGGCUUGGGUAGCAAACAGGAUUAGAUACCCUGGUAGUCCAAGCGGUAAACGAUGGGUACUAGGUGUCGGGGGUAUCGACCCCUUCGGUGCCGCAGCUAACGCAUUAAGUACCCCGCCUGGGGAGUACGAUCGCAAGAUUGAAACUCAAAGGAAUUGACGGGGGCCCGCACAAGCGGUGGAGUAUGUGGUUUAAUUCGAGCAACGCGAAGAACCUUACCUGGGUUUGACAUGCUUGAGACAGCCGGUGAAAGCCGGUCUCCCUUCGGGGCUCUUGCACAGGUGCUGCAUGGCUGUCGUCGGCUCGUGCCGUGAGGUGUUGGGUUAAGUCCCGCAACGAGCGCAACCCUUGUCCAUAGUUGCCAUCAGGUAAUGCUGGGAACUCUAUGGAGACUGCCGGUGAUAAGCUGGAGGAAGGUGGGGAUGACGUCAAGUCCUCAUGGCCCUUAUAUCCAGGGCUACACACGUACUACAAUGGCCGGUACAGAAGGUCGCAAUACCGUGAGGUGGAGCUAAUCCUUAAAACCGGCCCCAGUUCGAAUUGGAGUCUGCAACUCGACUCCAUGGAG